GAUGAACGCUGGCGGCGUGCCUAAUACAUGCAGGUCGAGCGAACGGACGAGAAGCUUGCUUCUCUGAUGUUAGCGGCGGACGGGUGAGUAACACGUGGAUAACCUACCUAUAAGACUGGGAUAACUUCGGGAAACCGGAGCUAAUACCGGAUAAUAUUUUGAACCGCAUGGUUCAAAAGUGAAAGACGGUCUUGCUGUCACUUAUAGAUGGAUCCGCGCUGCAUUAGCUAGUUGGUAAGGUAACGGCUUACCAAGGCAACGAUGCAUAGCCGACCUGAGAGGGUGAUCGGCCACACUGGAACUGAGACACGGUCCAGACUCCUACGGGAGGCAGCAGUAGGGAAUCUUCCGCAAUGGGCGAAGGCCUGACGGAGCAACGCCGCGUGAGUGAUGGAGGUCUUCGGAUCGUAAAACUCUGUUAUUAGGGAAGAACAUAUGUGUAAGUAACUGUGCACAUCUUGACGGUACCUAAUCAGAAAGCCACGGCUAACUACGUG
rnacentral:rRNA from 1 species